rnacentral:rRNA from 1 species
AUGGCUGUCACCACCAGGCGGCCAUUGGCACUGCUCAUCUCUCGCUCUCUCUCUCUUUCCCCACCUCUGCUCACGCACCCAAAGCACAGCCACAAGUUCACGAGCCGGCGCACGGCAAGCAGCAGAGAGACGAGAGUAAUGGGCAACGCUCUGCCGUGCUUGGUCGACCAGGGCGUGAAGGCUCUGCCGGCGGCGGCGAAGCCCAGGCGGAGGAUGUACUCGCUCCAGCUUCUCAUGAAGGUCCUCCACACGAUGAAGAAGACGACGCGCGGCAGCAAGAUUGGCGGCAAGUCCUCGCCGGAAUCCGAAGUAGGUGGGGCGGGCGUGAAGAGCAUCAAGGCCUCCCCGAGACGAGCGGCGGCAGGUCGUGGUGGCGGUGGCCAGAGGAAGGGCGUCGUGCGGGUGAAGGUGCUCCUGAGCAAGGAGGAGGCGGCGCGGCUGCUGUCGCUGACCGUCGGGGGCCAGAAGACGGCGGCGCAGAUCGUGGCCGAGAUCAAGAGGAUGGAGGCGCGCCGCGCCGCCGCCAAUGCCGCCGCGGCGGCCGGGUGGCGGCCCGCGCUGGCGAGCAUCCCGGAGGAGUCGUCGUAG